rnacentral:rRNA from 1 species
UGGGGAAUAUUGCACAAUGGGCGCAAGCCUGAUGCAGCCAUGCCGCGUGUGUGAAGAAGGCCUUCGGGUUGUAAAGCACUUUCAGCGAGGAGGAAAGGUGGUGAAGCUUAAUACGUCAUCAAUUGACGUUACUCGCAGAAGAAGCACCGGCUAACUCCGUGCCAGCAGCCGCGGUAAUACGGAGGGUGCAAGCGUUAAUCGGAAUUACUGGGCGUAAAGCGCACGCAGGCGGUUUGUUAAGUCAGAUGUGAAAUCCCCGGGCUCAACCUGGGAACUGCAUUUGAAACUGGCAAGCUAGAGUCUCGUAGAGGGGGGUAGAAUUCCAGGUGUAGCGGUGAAAUGCGUAGAGAUCUGGAGGAAUACCGGUGGCGAAGGC